ensembl:lncRNA
CUGAAAACAAAAUAUGAUCACAAUGGGGAUCAGUAAAUGAAAGCACAGUGAAAAAAAAUGUGUAUGACACUCUUCAUCAUUUAAAGUAAUACAGUCAUAUAGUAUCAGCGUUACGCACUGGAAACUCACAAACAAGGUGUCACCUGGCAUUCAGAUACCCUCAUACUGCAGGUCAGUAUCGUGUGAAUCCCUCCCUUUUUUUCCCACAGAAAUGAACCAUUACAUGACACCAAGGUUUGCUGGCAAUCUUUUGUGUUAUCCGCCACCACGUCUUUGGUUGGGCAAGACAUGCAUCAUACAGUUGGCAGCUGAUGAAUACGCCACAGCUACAAUUUCAGACAUUGACACCAUCCUUUAUAAAGACCCAGACCGACAAACAUUUCAUUUCUUCACUGUGACUGCAUACAGGCAGGAUUUCUUUUUCUGGGCAAACAGCAUUGUUCUCAUUUACUACAGCAUGGGACCAAGGAAGCAUUUGCUGUUGAUUCUUCUACUGCUAGUAUUCACCGACCACAGUCAAGGUGUUCCUGAGACCUAUGAACAAUCCUUGAUUGUCAACAAAUUCACUGAUUCCACUGUUGUUGGAGAACUACUUACAACUCCACAUCCGAUUAACACCCCAAGAUGGCACAACAGAUCAUGUAACUGCAAAGGAAAGGAAAGAGAGAUGGUGAGCACACACUGCCGCUGUCAGUCGUCUGCCAGACGCAAUGGCAAGAACGGGAAAUGGAAAAAACUGUGCCAGCUGGAAAAAAACAAGAAUCUGCAGAAGUGCCACAAGUUUUCCAAACUGAAGACAAACAAUAAAUCCAAGUUCGGUCCCAGUGUGCCCAUAUGAGCAAGACAAGGAAACUCUCAUAUAUACUCUGCCUAUAUAUCAAUAUUUUGCAAUUAUCACUGUCACACAUAUUUCUUUGUAAGACUUACUGUUAUAUCCUCCUCAAUAAAGUCCUCACACAAAUGAUUACAGUGUUUUUUAUUGAUAAAGAAAUAAUUACAGUGAAUCGAGGUAUAAUAAAGCAAAUUCAUUAUGCUUAACAAAAAAAACUGCAAGUGUUCAGAAUGGAGAUAUGUAAUUUGUAUCAUAGGAGCAUGGAUAUAUUAUGUAGAAACACACAUGUUUUACCCUUGUGAAAAUAAUGAAGGUAAAAUGUUUAUCUGAAGUUCAGUACCAGGACCACACCUCAAACUCUCCCCUUCCUGUCAUACAUCUAUAAAUGUUGACCAGCUCUGCAUACCAGUCUGUUCUUGUUUGCCGUUGCUCCACUUCCCCUUGCCUUUCUUCUUGCUCUUUUCUUCCUCUUUUGUCCCUCUCUUAGGGAGCCAGCACCAGGACCUGCCUCUGAUCCUCAGUAAAGCCUUUACCUACACUGCAGCUGCUUAUCUUACCUCUGAUCAACAUUUCACUUAUGAUAUCAGUUAAUAAAAAAUCACCUCAUUGAUGGUAUGGUCCUUGAUAUUGAAUGCAAGUUUACUGAAGUACUUUCACUAAAAUGACUCCUGGGAAGUCCAAACAGUGACUAACACAGAUACUUUUACUUGCUAAUAUUUAUAGUAUUUAACAUAAAAAACAAAACAAGCAUUGCAAUAAAUAAAUAAUUUGCCUUUUCACUGUUAGUGUUAAUUUUACAUUAAGAGUGUGGAUUAUACUUUGACUGUCUCAAUCAUUUUAAAGGAAGAUUGUCAUGAAAGACUGUAAAAGAAGCAGGAGGCCUUUUGGGCUGACUGGACUUUUCUGUGUGGAGGAUCAGUUGAACAGCACAGAGGUGGAAAAAGCAAACAGAGCCAUUAACAUCAGACUGCUGUGGGAUGAGAAGUGGAUGGCAGAGGCAUGACCUGGGAAUGGAGAGAGAAAUUUCAGUGAUUCUGAGAGGAAAAGAAAGAAUGUUACUGUAUACCACAUGGAUCAUCUACAGUUGUAUAGCACCUACACCGGUAGUGUUUUAACCAUACUGAUGAAAAUAAUUUAGAUGAAUGCAAUUAUUCUAUGAACCCUAAGAAAAUAAUUGGUCAUGUUUCACUCAUAUUUUGCUUGUCAGUUCAUCAGAUAUCACAAAGAAUCUAUUAUGGAGAUACUGUACUGACCACAUCAAAAAUAGACAGAGAGGAGUUGUAAGGUUCACUCACCGCUGACAGCAAAUGUUUUACUUUGGUACAUUGUGAUGUUGGUCACAGGGUUCCUCGCCUUACAAAUGUACGUCCCCUCACUUUCUUUUGUCACAGAGAAUGUAAUAACAGGUCCAUUCGUUAGAGGGUUUGACUGAUUGUUUAAGAACCAGUAGAAAUGACACUCAGGCCGAGAAUCAGCAGAACAUGUCAGAGACAUGCCAGAGGUGCCCAGUUCUGCUGAAUCUGGACCAGAGAUAGUCACACUCAGGGGCCCAUCUGCAACCACACAGAAGAAGUUAGUCAAAAUUAGAGUAAAAUGACAAUUGUUAUGUACAAACAUUUUUUAGAAUUAUUUGCGCACAUCUAAAAGGGUAAAUUCACAUUUAUU